UCUCCCCCAACAAACCUCACCCCCGUUAGUGCCGCCACCUCUAACUCGUGUGGUCCGAUGGGCGUCGCCGCCGCAUUAAAUCUCCCAGGCCACCAGCACCAGGGACACUUUUUCCUCGCAGGCAGCCACAAGGGUUUAGGUCCAGGGGCACUUGAAAUCGCAGAACGGUGCGCGUCAGGACGCUUUCCUCUCGAGUAUACUUUUGCCUCUCGUUGAUGGCAAGCGGCAUCAUAGCAGACGGUCAGGAAAAACACACGGAUGGAUCGCCACGCCGGGCAGGCAGGCAUGCAUACUACAGCCCCUUGCAUCAUCUCAUUUUCAUCAUGGAAAACCAACAAACGUGAAGAAAGUGAGGUCGGCACCCAGCCGGCCAGAACCGUGUGAAGUGGCCAGACACUCAGACAGCGAUGCGAUUAGAAAUGAAUUUCCACGAUUGCACUCAUCAGAUUUUUGCGCCCAUAUAGCACUCACAGAAGAGCAGAGCCACUUUGUUCAAUGCGACAACGGAUAAAUAAACAAACGACGGGAGACCGUUUUCGUGCGGGAGAGAUGAAUUUCCAAAAUUGCAUUCCAUCGGUUUGUGCAUGCAGGUUACAAACUGUGAUGUUUUGUAUGUCCAAAAAGACUAAUAAAACGCAAAAACAGACAACAACCUAGUAUCUACUCUAUAUGACAGGGGAU
rnacentral:lncRNA from 1 species